ensembl:misc_RNA Metazoa_SRP Metazoan signal recognition particle RNA
GCUGGGCGUAAUGGCCCAUGCCUGUAGUCCCAGCUACUUGGGAGGCUGAGGUGGGAGGAUCACUUGAGCCCAGGAGUUUGAGGCUGCAGUGGGCUAUGAUCAUGCCACUGCAUUCCAGCCUGGGUGACAGAGUGAGACCCUGACUCUU